ACAAUUUUAACCUGAACACGGCUAACCGCUUGCAUUCACUUUGAAUGACAUUUAAUUUUAUGUCUGCUUGCAGAAACAUGACAUAUUCAAGAAAAGAAUUGAUUCUCAUGGUAAUGUAAUAGAAGAAAGGCAGGAGGGUAUUGGUGCUCCCAAGAUUGAAAAGCCUUUACAAAGACAUGGUGGAAGACUUGAACACAAUGAGACAUACUGUGGUUCAUGCUAUGGUGCAGAAGCGUCAGAUAAUGAUUGUUGUAACUCUUGUGAAGAUGUUCGUGAAGCAUAUCGAAAGAAAGGUUGGGCGAUAUCAAAUCCAGAUAUGAUUGAUCAGUCAUCUGUAGGAAAACAUCACACAACUCUCUUUGGAAUUACACUCGCCACCAAAUAUUAUAAACACUUGCCACCAUGUGCUGAAGCGGGCUAUAAACAACUAGACCAAGUGAAACCGUGACAGAGAAAGAAAGAUACAGCUUAGGUGAAGUGUAGCUUUAUUCUUCUUUCUUUUUAUAUAUUUAUUUAUAUUUUUUGUGUGUUUCUGAUCUACAAUACUCCUGUUUCUGAUUUGCUUUAAACCUUUCCCAACCCUAGAAAUUUUGUUGCAUAACCCUAAUUUGUUGCCCAUCCAUCACAAUGGCUCAAGCCUAGUACUUAGGAGAACACAAAACAGUCCUAUGUUCUUGUUCACGGGUUACUGUUCACAGUGCAGGAACAACCCCAGAACCAAGGUUUUAAAAAGCGACUGUAACAGUUACGUAACACCAUUACGUAACGGUUGUGGUGGUUACUGCCACCCGUUACGGCUACUUUUGCGGUGUGAUUGAGAUUCACAGGUGUGUCAGUCGUAGCGGCUGCCGUAACGGUGUCGUAACGGUUCCAAACUAUUCUUUUAAAAAAAUUAAAAAAUUAAAAAAAAAAUCUAAAAAUGGGAGAAGAUGGAGGAGUAAGAGAUAAAGAGAGAGAGAAGAGGGAAGAUGAAGA